UAUAUAACACAUAUCAACAGGCUUAAAGAAGAACUUCUGCAAGAGCAAGAAAAGUACAGCGAAAGCAUAAAAGUGAACAGAAAACUUGAAUCAGCGAUUACUGAUUUGAAUUGCGCCAAUAAGGAAAGCGAAACUUUUAUAGAGAAUUUAAAAGAACGAUUUGAAGAUCUGAAGAGCAAAGAAGAGAGACUGGCGAGAAAAGUUGAAGAACUUGAAAAUAAUAGUGCAAAAGCAAAGGAUGCCGCGCUAAUAAAAGAAGAAGAAUAUGAAGAAAAAUAUAUGGAACUUAUCGGAAAAGUGAAAAGGCUUGAGAAACUUAAUAUUACUAUGAAAGCAAAAUUAAGAAGAGAGACGGGAGUUAAUAGGCAAAUUAAUAAAGUUUCGUUAGGCAGAAGUGAAUUUAAUUCUACGACAGCGGAAGAGAAAUUCGAAUUUUAUAAUAAUAAGAGAUUCUACAGAGAAGCAAAUAAAGAAAAUUUAUCUAAAAAAAUUGAGAAUGCGCCUGUACAAUUAAAAUCAAAUUCAUCUUUAUUUUCGA